rnacentral:rRNA from 1 species
UAACACAUGCAAGUCGAGGGGCAGCAUGGUCUUAGCUUGCUAAGGCCGAUGGCGACCGGCGCACGGGUGAGUAACACGUAUCCAACCUGCCGUCUACUCUUGGACAGCCUUCUGAAAGGAAGAUUAAUACAAGAUGGCAUCAUGAGUCCGCAUGUUCACAUGAUUAAAGGUAUUCCGGUAGACGAUGGGGAUGCGUUCCAUUAGAUAGUAGGCGGGGUAACGGCCCACCUAGUCUUCGAUGGAUAGGGGUUCUGAGAGGAAGGUCCCCCACAUUGGAACUGAGACACGGUCCAAACUCCUACGGGAGGCAGCAGUGAGGAAUAUUGGUCAAUGGGCGAGAGCCUGAACCAGCCAAGUAGCGUGAAGGAUGACUGCCCUAUGGGUUGUAAACUUCUUUUAUAAAGGAAUAAAGUCGGGUAUGGAUACCCGUUUGCAUGUACUUUAUGAAUAAGGAUCGGCUAACUCCGUGCCAGCAGCCGCGGUAAUACGGAGGAUCCGAGCGUUAUCCGGAUUUAUUGGGUUUAAAGGGAGCGUAGAUGGAUGUUUAAGUCAGUUGUGAAAGUUUGCGGCUCAACCGUAAAAUUGCAGUUGAUACUGGAUAUCUUGAGUGCAGUUGAGGCAGGCGGAAUUCGUGGUGUAGCGGUGAAAUGCUUAGAUAUCACGAAGAACUCCGAUUGCGAAGGCAGCCUGCUAAGCUGCAACUGACAUUGAGGCUCGAAAGUGUGGGUAUCAAACAGGAUUAGAUACCCUGGUAGUCCACACGGUAAACGAUGAAUACUCGCUGUUUGCGAUAUACUGCAAGCGGCCAAGCGAAAGCGUUAAGUAUUCCACCUGGGGAGUACGCCGGCAACGGUGAAACUCAAAGGAAUUGACGGGGGCCCGCACAAGCGGAGGAACAUGUGGUUUAAUUCGAUGAUACGCGAGGAACCUUACCCGGGCUUAAAUUGCAGAUGAAUUACGGUGAAAGCCGUAAGCCGCAAGGCAUCUGUGAAGGUGCUGCAUGGUUGUCGUCAGCUCGUGCCGUGAGGUGUCGGCUUAAGUGCCAUAACGAGCGCAACCCUUGUUGUCAGUUACUAACAGGUUCCGCUGAGGACUCUGACAAGACUGCCAUCGUAAGAUGUGAGGAAGGUGGGGAUGACGUCAAAUCAGCACGGCCCUUACGUCCGGGGCUACACACGUGUUACAAUGGGGGGUACAGAGGGCCGCUACCACGCGAGUGGAUGCCAAUCCCCAAAACCUCUCUCAGUUCGGACUGGAGUCUGCAACCCGACUCCACGAAGCUGGAUUCGCUAGUAAUCGCGCAUCAGCCACGGCGCGGUGAAUACGUUCCCGGGCCUUGUACACACCGCCCGUCAAGCCAUGGGAGCCGGGGGUACCUGAAGUGCGUAACCGCGAGGAGCGCCCUAGGGUAAAACUGGUGACUGGGGCCAAGUCAUA